AAAAAAGCAAAAUUUUUCAAUACAUGAAAGAACCCAACCUUUAAACUUAUCUAUCUAUGGUACUGGGGUUGAACCCAGAGCCUUUUCAGUGAGCUACAUCCCCAGUUCUUCUUUAAAUUUUUUAUUUUGAGACAGGGUCUUGCUAAGUUACUAAAUCACCUAGGCUGGGCUGGAACUUGAGAUCCUCCUGCUUCAGCCUCCCAGUGCUGGGAUGACAAGUGAGUGCCACUGUGCCCAGUUCGAUCAUGCAUAUUUUUCUAUAAAUGCUGUUGGGAUCUAUUUUUUUCUAUUUAUAAUAUGUUGGGUAUAUUUCAAAUGAUCAAAGUAUUCUAUGUUUAAAUGCCAAUAAUGCCAGGUGUGGUGGGGCAAACCUGUAAUCCCAGCACUCAGGAGGCUCAGGCAGGAUGAUCGCUUCGAGUUCUAGGUCAGUUUGGACUAUACAGCAAAACUCUCUCUCCAAAAAAAGCACCAAUAAUUAUAAUAUGAAGAAAACGUCCUCCAGCCUAAAUAAUCAGUUUAAUUAUGAAAUAUUAGUCGUAAACUUUAAAGUGUGCUGGAGUGACCCUUCCCCAUAACCCAUAGAUCUUAGGUUAAAGAGCGGAGUCUGACUAGACGUCCUCCCUGGGGUCUGCGCAGGGCAGUGCCCACCGGGCUCCAGGCCUCGCCUGUCAGAGUUGCGCCUGCGCCGGCUGAAGGCUUUCCCGCGACCAGACCCGCUCCUGGGUGUUCCCGCCAGUCACCUGGAGGCCCUCGCGUGGCUCCCGGUCCGCCGGUCUGCGUGGGGCCCCGCGGCCCCGCGGGUCCCUGGCACCAGGCGAUCACAGCAGCUGACGUCACGGGUUUACAUUUGAGCAGGUUCAGGAUCAGAGGUUACCCAAGCCAGCAAGGAACAUUGGAACUCACAGCCACCAUGCUAUGUGAGGCAGCUCUUCAGCUCCUGUUUAUUAUGAAAAGAGGAAGAUCAUGGGGAAUAAUUGUUGCAGUGUAUGACUGUGGCAGCACAGAGGAUGAACAUAUUACUCAGAGAUGGGACUGAGUCCAAGCAGAGAGCCCUAGAAGGAGGAGGUCUUCAAGAAGCAGUGCCAAUCCAAGAACUCUGGCUUUUAUUUACAUUACAAGAAGCAGUUGUGUCAAGGAAUGAGGAGGCCUGCUAUGUGACAUUGUUCAGGUUGAUAUGAGCAAUUUAUUGGGCAGGGGGAAGGACAUAGGCUGAAUCUAGCAGCUUCUCAAACCUUUACCCGUACAUCCUGGUACCUAUAUGCUUUUGCCCCAGCCGUGUUUCCCUGAUCUUUAACCCUACAUUCUAGAGCUUGUGUGCUUUUGCCCCAUAUGCCCUUUCAUAACCAUUCAGUGUUGCUUUGGUCAACCGGAUAAC
rnacentral:lncRNA from 1 species